GAGAAUCUAGUAAAUACAUUACGUAAUCUUGUCAAGAUUAAAUAACAGAAAGCUGUGAAUCUCU
rnacentral:tRNA from 1 species